rnacentral:rRNA from 1 species
GAUGAACGCUGGCGGCGUGCCUAAUACAUGCAAGUCGAGCGAACAGAUGAGGAGCUUGCUCCUCUGACGUUAGCGGCGGACGGGUGAGUAACACGUGGAUAACCUACCUAUAAGACUGGGAUAACUUCGGGAAACCGGAGCUAAUACCGGAUAAUAUAUUGAACCGCAUGGUUCAAUAGUGAAAGACGGUUUUGCUGUCACUUAUAGAUGGAUCCGCGCCGCAUUAGCUAGUUGGUAAGGUAACGGCUUACCAAGGCAACGAUGCGUAGACGACCUGAGAGCGUGAUCGGCCACACGGGAACUGAGACACGGUCCAGACUCCUGCAGGAGGCAGCAGUAGGGAAUCUUCCGCGAUGGGGGAGAGCGUGACGGAGCAAAGCCGCGGGAGGGAUGAAGGUGUUCGGAUCGGAAAACGCUGUUAUUAGGGGAGAACAAAUGUGUAAGUAACUAUGCACGUAUUGACGGUACCUAAUCAGAAAGCCACGGCUAACUACGUG